GAUCAAAAGAAUGAUCCUGAACACCUACCUACGUCAGACAUAACCCCACCGUGUCCUCGAUCGGAGUAAGAACUCACGAAAGAGACAGUCACGGUUACGCACACAGUUGGCAUAUUUUAAUUAAGUUAACUUCAAGUUAUCUAGAACCAGUGCUAAAAAGAGUUUCCACAUUGCCACAUAACCGCGGGCAGGGCUUUCCGAAAGAUUUAACCCUGCAGGGGUGCUCCAACUAGUCCAUCACAAAUUACCACAAGCCGCAUAGAAA
rnacentral:lncRNA from 1 species